UUGUGCAAUUAGCUAGAUACCCAGGUGAGUUUCUCCUUUUUUUUCUUCUUUUAAUCUUCUUCUUAAUGAAGAAAUAAAACUUUCUUGCUUUUCAUCGUCAUCAUCUUCUUCUUUAGCAUUGCCAUGUGUUUGACUGUUUAGAAAAGAGACGUGAAAGAAAGAAAGAAGUGAACACUUGGAAUCUCAUGACUCUCUUCAUUCUGAAUCUAGCAACUGUUGUAAAAUUUCCAGCUUUAGUCCAAGUUUCCCCCCUCUUUUGAUUCUUUCUCCGCAGCCAAACGCAUUCUUUUAGUCUUUCUUUGUUUUGCAUUUGUUAGACGGAAAUUUGGUCUGAACAUUUAACAUUUCAGAUCUAUCUAUUUUCUUUCGUCUUCUAUUAUUUUACAUUUUGAAAACAGAGUUCUCUUUUCCCACACGAGCAAGCGCGUGGUGGCUCGUGCGUGGUAUGCUCAUUUUACUGGUGUUUAAAAACAUUCCACUGUCACUUUUUCACGUCUGCUCUUCUACGACAGCUCGUCACUUGUCAGUAAAAGCUUGAUUGAAAUGACACAAGUGCCCUUGCAACAUCUCUUUGAAAUUUAAGAUCAAGUG
rnacentral:misc_RNA from 1 species